UACGUAGGCAGCAAGCGUUGUUCGGAAUUACUGGGCGUAAAGAGUGUGUAGGCGGUGCUCUAAGUUUGGUGUGAAAUCUCCCGGCUCAACUGGGAGGGUGCGCCGAAAACUGGAAUGCUUGAACAUGGGAGAGGAAAGCGGAAUUCCUGGUGUAGCGGUGAAAUGCGUAGAUAUCAGGAGGAACACCUGCGGUGUAGACGGCUUUCUGGACCAUUGUUGACGCUGAGACACAAAAGCGUGGGUAGCAAACAGG
rnacentral:rRNA from 1 species